ensembl:snoRNA SNORA71 Small nucleolar RNA SNORA71
UCCUGUAUCGAAAGUGACCACGGCGUCCCCAUCGCCGUGGUCAUCGAUAGUACAGGAAGACCAACCUGCGAGCCUUUCCCGUGUUUGAAGGAUCCUCUGUUCCUAUCAGACCCUGGCGCUCCCAGACA